rnacentral:lncRNA from 1 species
AGAUAGAGAGGUUGUUUCCAAAAGACAAACUUAUUUCUGCAAGAGAGUACAAAUUUUUUUCUUUUUUCAAGUUUUUCUGGAUUUUGCUGAUCAUAUGAACUAAUUAGGUAGAGUUUGAAGCUUUCCUUUAUAUUUUAUUUAUGAUUUUUAUAGAAGUAAGCCACAUUGAAUAUGUUAUGUAUGUUCUAAGCAUCUUGGUUGUUUAUAUAGAAAUGAGUUAUAUAAAUUAAAAAAUUUAUCGAGAUAUAGUAAAAAAUCAAUUGAUUCCUAAUUAAGGGUCAAUCACUUCUUCUUCGUUUGUCUACAGUUGAGUUGAACGGUAAGCGGUGAUCAAAUAUUCACUUCUUCUUUGUUUGUCUACAAUUACUUUGAAUGGUAAGCUAAUCAAUCUUUGUUUCUCCUUCGUUUCUAUAAUCCUUAUUUCACAUACUUUAUAUAACAUGCCUUUGAUGUAGAUUUUUUUCUUUCCUUUGAUUACUGAAAACGUUGAUCCUAUUUGUUGUGCGAUAUGUUUAAUCAGUUCAAAUAGAUAUGAAAAGAAGGGGUUUUCAUUUAUACACCCCUCAUAUAAAACUCUUUAUCAGUUUAGUGUGUCUACAAGUGAUAAUGGUCAAAUGGGUGAAUUUGCUGAUCUCCACAAUUAACUCUGCAAUAAUGUUGAAAAAAAACGGAAGCAUUAUUAAGUGUUUGAGAAAGUAAAUGAAAGGGUAGUUUCUUAUCCUGUUUUUCUUCGAAUUCUCUUAAUAACUGAUUUUCUCAUAAGUCAUGUUUAUGGGUAACAAGAAAUGUGUGGUUAUAAUACAUUUUUCCUUGUGCACAUGGCGUAUUGCUAAGACCAAGCAUGUGGAAGUGAUUUUCCGUAGAGAACCACACAGUCACGAGAAUUUCUGCCACAAUUUUAUUAGUGCCUUUAAUUUGCAAGAAUGUCUUGAUUUGUUUUCCUUGAGAUUUUGAGUUGUUGCAACAUUUAGUUGUAUAGUAGAUCACCAUCAAUCUGAAUCUACUACUCAAAUUGGUUGUCCCUCUUUUUAACUCUUGAGAAAUGUAGCAUCGUAUUUCAUUUUCUUAAUUUCUUUUAAUCCCUAUCUGCCCUUCUAGAGAGAUUUAUGUAUUAGAAUGAGUGUUGGUUAACCUGGAUGUAUGUGGUUAGUUCAUUUUGAUUUUAUCUUAGUCUUGAUUUCUUAAAGCUGCAGUUCAGAUUAACUACUCAACAAUAACUAUCGGGACCAGUGAUUUGAUCUUUCGGAAAGAGUAUCUCUACCUCCACGAGGUAGUGAUAAGAUCUGAUAAGAUAUGUUGUUGUUUGAACUCUAUUGAUUUGUAUAAUCUCUUCCUCAUUCUACUACUUAACUAUCACUAAGACUUCAGAGUCUUAAGUAUUGUUCAUGUUUAUUACCUACUUUACUGUUCUACAAGUGAUUUUGUUCCAAAAUUAAGUACACUAUGUCAGUUACCUGUUUUCCAGAUCAAACUGGAUAAAAAUGGUAUUGGGAAGAGAGGACAACAAAACAGGAAGUGAGAUGAGAGGGACGACAAAAUGGAAAAGGGAAGCGACAUGAAGGAG